GCAUUGAUUACGUCCCUGCCCUUUGUACGCACCGCCCGUCGCUCCUACCGAUGAAUGUUAAGAUGAAAUUUUCGGAGGGGUCCGAUGACCCAGGCCUAGCCUGGCGAUAUGGUAUCGCAAAGUUACUUGAAUCUGAACAUUUCGAGGAAGGAGAAGUCGUAACAAGGUUUCCGUAGGUGAACCUGCGGAAGGAUCAUUGACA
rnacentral:rRNA from 1 species